rnacentral:rRNA from 1 species
ACCCGCUGAACUUAAGCAUAUCAAUAAGCGGAGGAAAAGAAACCAACAGGGAUUGCCUCAGUAACGGCGAGUGAAGCGGCAAGAGCUCAGAUUUGAAAUCCUGUACGUUAGCGUGCACGAGUUGUAAUCUGCAGAGAAUGUUUCGGCUGAGGCGCCGGUCAAAAUUCCUUGGAAUAGGAUUACACAGAGGGUGAGAAUCCCGUAUCCGGCUGGCGGUCAAGGCUAUGUGAAACUUCUUCGACGAGUCGAGUUGUUUGGGAAUGCAGCUCUAACUGGGUGGUAAAUUCCAUCUAAAGCUAAAUAUCUGCGAGAGACCGAUAGCGCACAAGUAGAGUGAUCGAAAGAUGAAAAGCACUUUGAAAAGAGAGUUAAAAAGUACGUGAAAUUGUUGAAAGGGAAGCGCUUGCCAUCAGAAUUGGGUCCGGUCGAUCAGCGUUCCUUCUGGUUCGUGCACUCGUCCGGUUCCCGUGCCAGCACCAGUUGAAGCGGCAGGACAAAGACGCCGGGAAUGUGGCUCCUCUCGGGGAGUGUUAUAGCCUGGCGUGUAAUGCUGCCAGCAUCGACUGAGGACCGCGCUUCGUGCAAGGGUGCUGGCCUAAUGGUUGU